rnacentral:rRNA from 1 species
CCUACGAGUGGCAGCAGUGAGGAAUAUUGGUCAAUGGCCGGAAGGCUGAACCAGCCAAGUCGCGUGCGGGACGACUGCCCUAUGGGUUGUAAACCUCUUUUAUCAGGGAAUAAUAAAUGCUACGUGUAGCCUUAUUCCUGUACCUUAUGAAUAAGCAUCGGCUAACUCCGUGCCAGCCGCCGCGGUAAUACGGGGGAUGCGAGCGUUAUCCGGCUUUAUUUGGUUUAACGGGUGCGUAGGCGGUUUUUUAAGUUAGUGGUUAAACGUCGGGGCUUCACCUUGAUUUGCCAGUAAGACUGUAAGACUCGAGUUCAGACGAGGUAGGCGGAAUAAGUUAAGUAGCGGUGAAAUGCUUAGAUAUAACUUAGAACUCCGAUAGCGAAGGCAGCUUACCAGACUGCGACUGACGCUGAAGCACGAGAGCGUGGGUAGCGAACAGGAUUAGAUACCCCAGUAGUC